rnacentral:rRNA from 1 species
UCUGACCUCAAAUCAGUAGG